rfam:Oceanospirillum linum strain ATCC 11336 NODE_288_length_255_cov_3974.42, whole genome shotgun sequence.
AGGCUUGUAGCUCAGCUGGUUAGAGCGCACCCCUGAUAAGGGUGAGGUCGGUGGUUCAAGUCCACUCAGGCCUA